GAUGGUAUAGCUCAGUGUUAGAAUGGGUGCUUAGCAUGCAGAAGGUCCUGGGUUCAAUCCCCAGUACUGCCA
rfam:Camelus ferus unplaced genomic scaffold scaffold1052, whole genome shotgun sequence.